UUCAGAUUCAUGUAUCUAUGUACUCUUGCCACAUUUAGAUUCAUGUAUCGUUUGCGAUCGAUAGAGUUGCAACGUUUUCUCUUAGAUUAUAUGGCUUCCUCUCUUGCUCGGGUGCGAUUUGAAAUUACAGAAGAAUUUUUAGUAUUUCGGUGGUUAACGAUCUUUGAUUCCCUUUUCUCAGACGCGCGUUUCAUUCCAAGUAGGGGAUACCUUUUAUCUUAGAUCUUCCUUUGGCCCCAUUGAUUUCAAAUCGUUUGAAUUAAUAUGGAUGAUCUCUCCGUCAUCGCAUUCUUCCCCAGUUGGCUGUUUUUACCAGCUUCGACUCAGCGGAGAUUGAGGUUAAACAAGGUAGGAGAAGAGUUCUCUGUGAAAUUUAUGCAGAGUGGCCAAAAGGUAUUACUUCUUUCUUAUUUUUAUCCAUUCGUCUUCUCAGGUAUUAUUAUUAUAGAAGUUGUUUUGUUUCCUUUUGAAGUGGAUUAGAUUCCUGGUUGCAUAUACGUUAUGGGUAAAUGCUAUCUUUAGAGACUCUCAGGUGCCUUUUAUUGUCAGUGGUUGAGUUUGGCUCACUCAUAUUGAUACAAAAGCUUUUUAUAAGUAGGUAUAUGGAAACACUUGAAAAGAGAUGUCAUACUUAUUUAUAAAUAAUUUUUAAUACAUCAAGGUCGAGGGCAAACAGAGACGUGCAUAUAUAUAUGCAGACUACUAAGUGUCGCAUAGGUAACAUGUCGUCUUAGCAACAACGGAAGAAGACAACAAAGGAAAGAAAGCAGAAUUCCCCAAUGGGCUUUGGGGGGAAACCAAGCGAGUGUCAUCCCGGCAAACAAACCAUCCAAGCCACCCCCGGAACUCGGUGAAAAAGGUCCAUGUUUUCUAUUUCAAAGAACUACGUAUGAUAUGGGACUCUCUAUCUACUGUCUGACUUUCGGCAUCUUUAUUUACGAGGAAUUGCUAAGUAGGUUGGAAUUGGUUUCAGUUCGUGUAGAUGACCCUCCUUGUUACAUCCAGUAUUUUGCAACAGAAUUCUUCAAUGCAAAAUAUUGUAUUUGACAUUUAUUUACAUUUUCCACCGACUGUACGUAGUAGUUGAUAACUUCAACUUAUAUUACAUAUUUGAUUCGUAGAAUCUGAAUGCAGAUAUAUAAUUUUAAGUCUAGGUUUUGUGGUGUUUUAUGCGAUUACAUUGUUCCUAAUAUUCGCAGACGCAGUUCUCUCAACUGUUCAAACAUUAGUUUCUACUGCACUUUAUCGAAUUAUACACUCUAUCAUUAAGGGUCAGCCUUUACUGAUUAUUGGAGUUGCAGAGCCAACUGUGAUUAUAUACACAUUCAUGUUCAACUUUGCUAAAAAAAAAUCAGUUUUGGGCUCAAAGCUCUUCCUUGCAUGGACUGGAUGGUAUUUUCUUGCAGGAGUUCUCUUCCCUUAAAAUGAUUCUGUGAGACAAUACAUUCUACCCAACUUCUUCAAAGGAGUGCAUCGCCAGUAAUUAAAUGUUUCAGAGUAUGAAGAAGCACCAGCUUUACUAGUCAACCUAUCAACUGAGGCGGAGUUUAGUAGGACAGCUCCAUUUGCCAAUGAUGGUGAAUUUUGGAUGGGAUCGGGACGCGAAGGAGGCGAAGAUCCUCUGAUGCAGCACCAGAAGGCGAAGCACCUUUCAAGUGCCGUGACUGCCAUAACUGCCAGUGGAAUGGGUACCCACGUCCUUCUGGUACACAAAGAGAAUGUCACCAAGUAAUCCCUGCUCUCCUAAGACCAUGAUCUUUCUGUAAUUUUAUAUACACAAAAACAGCUCUUUAUCAUAGAUACUGUAUUGAUCUGUUGGUGGUUUUAUUGUGCGGUGUAUACUGCUUAUGUAUCUAAUUCAUAUGUGAAAACCAUUGAUAAAAUUGGUAUACACUGGUUGUCGAAUCCUAUAGACAUUUCAAUGGAUGAUCAUUGUUCAAUUAGGAAUUUAGAGGAAUGUGGAUUUUAUUUUACGAAA